rnacentral:hammerhead_ribozyme from 1 species
AUCCAGAUGACCAGUUCCGAAUAGGACAAAACGCGCGUUCCGGAU